CCUACGGGUGGCAGCAGUGAGGAAUAUUGGUCAAUGGGCGAGAGCCUGAACCAGCCAAGUCGCGUGAGGGAGUACUGCCCUAUGGGUUGUAAACCUCUUUUGUCGGGGAGCAAAAGCCGGACGUGUCCGGCUGUGAGAGUACCCGAAGAAAAAGCAUCGGCUAACUCCGUGCCAGCAGCCGCGGUAAUACGGGGGAUGCGAGCGUUAUCCGGAUUAAUUGGGUUUAAGGGGUGCGCAGGCGGAUGGUUAAGUCAGCGGUCACAGCGUGGGGCUCAACCCCAUCCAGCCGUUGAAAAUGGGGAUCUGGAGUAUGGGAGAGGCAUGCGGAAUGCGUGGUGGAGCGGGGAAAUGCGUAGAUAUCA
rnacentral:rRNA from 1 species